rnacentral:rRNA from 1 species
UGGGGAAUUUUGACAAUGGGCGCAAGCCUGAUCCAGCCAUGCCGCGUGCGGGAAGAAGGCCUUCGGGUUGUAAACCGCUUUUGUCAGGGAAGAAAUCUUCUGAGUUAAUACCUCGGGGAGGAUGACGGUACCUGAAGAAUAAGCACCGGCUAACUACGUGCCAGCAGCCGCGGUAAUACGUAGGGUGCAAGCGUUAAUCGGAAUUACUGGGCGUAAAGCGUGCGCAGGCGGUUUUGUAAGACGAGGUGAAAUCCCCGGGCUCAACCUGGGAACUGCCUUUGUGACUGCAAGGCUUGAGUGCGGCAGAGGGGGGAUGGAAUUCCGCGUGUAGCGUGAAAAUGCGUAGAUAUGCGGNGGAAACACCGAUGGCGAAGGCAAUCCCCCUGGGGCCUGNACUGACGCUCAUGCACGAAAGCGU